rnacentral:rRNA from 1 species
UACAGAGGGUGCAAGCGUUAAUCGGAAUUACUGGGCGUAAAGCGUGCGUAGACGGUCAUGUAAGUCGGGUGUGAAAGCCCCGGGCUCAACCUGGGAAUUGCAUUCGAGACUGCAUGGCUAGGAUGCGGAAGAGGGAAGCGGAAUUUCCGGUGUAGCGGUGAAAUGCGUAGAUAUCGUAAGGAAGACCAGUGGCGAAGGCGGGUCUCUGGACAGUUCCUGACGCUGAGGCACGAAGGUCAGGGGAGCAAACGGG